rnacentral:rRNA from 1 species
AGAGUUUGAUCCUGGCUCAGAUUGAACGCUGGCGGCAUGCCUUACACAUGCAAGUCGAACGGUAACGCGGGGCAACCUGGCGACGAGUGGCGAACGGGUGAGUAAUGCAUCGGAACGUGCCCAGUAGUGGGGGAUAGCCCGGCGAAAGCCGGAUUAAUACCGCAUACGACCUUAGGGUGAAAGCGGGGGAUCGCAAGACCUCGCGCUAUUGGAGCGGCCGAUGUCGGAUUAGCUAGUUGGUGGGGUAAAAGCCUACCAAGGCGACGAUCCGUAGCUGGUCUGAGAGGACGACCAGCCACACUGGGACUGAGACACGGCCCAGACUCCUACGGGAGGCAGCAGUGGGGAAUUUUGGACAAUGGGCGCAAGCCUGAUCCAGCCAUGCCGCGUGCGGGAAGAAGGCCUUCGGGUUGUAAACCGCUUUUGUCAGGGAAGAAACGGUUUGAGCUAAUACCUCGAACUAAUGACGGUACCUGAAGAAUAAGCACCGGCUAACUACGUGCCAGCAGCCGCGGUAAUACGUAGGGUGCAAGCGUUAAUCGGAAUUACUGGGCGUAAAGCGUGCGCAGGCGGCUUUGCAAGACAGAUGUGAAAUCCCCGGGCUCACCUGGGAACUGCAUUUGUGACUGCAUCGCUCGAGUGCUGCAGAGGGGGAUGGAAUUCCGCGUGUAGCAGUGAAAUGCGUAGAUAUGCGGAGGAACACGAUGGCGAAGGC